UCCGCCAGCUCGAGAUCGCCAUGGACCCCGGCGCCGCCGCCACCACCUGCAUCAACUGAUCCAUAUAUAAUUCUCCAUUUCCAUGCAUCAUAAUCCACCUCACUCGACUCGAGCGAGCAACCGCUCUGCCCAAGACUGUGACUGAGGUCGAAGACUGUGUAGCACCCAGCCAGCCAGAGAAGCCCAAGAUGGAGACGGAGGCCGGCAGCUGUAGAGAGUGUCGAACCGGACGAGUGCCGUCGUCGCCGGCGAAGAAGAGAAUAUAUUCGUCUCUGUCUGUCAUCGCGGUGACACCGCCGAUGCUGCAACAGUGGGGUCACCGGUCACCAGCUAUCCUUGCUGCUGCUGCGCAAUUAUGAUCUGGUUGGUGAGACGCACACACAAUCUGCUGCUGCUUCUUGCUCCCAGAGUUGGCAUGUUACCUUGACCUGUGUGUGUGUGUGUGUGUUUUGCGAAGGAGUCAAUUCGGCUUGUGUAUAUAACUCUCCUUUUAGUCUUAAAUAGAUGAUGAACUGCUGGCGGUGUUUUGCUAAGGUUUGUGACAAAUGGUGUUCCUGUCGCUGCAUGGCACUCCCUCCUAUUCAUAAAUAUAAGAUGUUUUAGAUAUUUUAAUAUAAAUUAUAUACAGACUGAUAUGAGUGAACAAACAUACUAUAAUGUGUCUAUAUACAUUGGUUUACGAAUAUGUUAGACCAUCUUAUAUUUUUGAAUGGAGGGUGUAAUCAUUCGCAAAAAAAAGAAUGGAGGGUGUAAGAGGUAUCGUCGGAUGUUAAUUUUUUCUUUGUUUUUUUUGAAAUGGAGGCAAAAUCUUUCUAUCAUCCAUUAGUUAAGAGAGAAAUAGAGUUUUUCGUUUACAAAUACGGUGGCCAAGUCCCCGCAAAAAAAAAACGAUGGCCAAGCAUCCUGCUCUGGCACCGCGUCCGCUCCGGUGCUGGUGCCAUCAGACGACGAUGAUCCGAUCGUCCACGACAUCAACCAAUGAUACCUCGCCACGAAGGACUUGUAUGCGGGCCGCUGCCAUCGGGUCAAUGCCAAGCUUCUGGCAUAGGCACCGAGGCUUCGCACGACAUCGUUGAGAACAAGGACGAAGAUGAAGCCUGUGCCGGUGUCGUCGCCAAGGAGCAAGCCCAUGCCGUUCAGUCACUCGCCGACCUACAUGACCUGGAUGACCCCAUGCAUUCUGACUUCUCCUCUAACUCCGGCAACAACUCAUAUGCCAUCUUCAACAUCUCUACUGCGGCGGAGAUGCUUAGGGGAAGGCAAACACCGGUGACGCUUUUCACCUAGCCUAGUCCUAGUACAAAUUUAUGAACUAUGUUGUUGUCGUUCUAGUAUAUAUGAACUAUGUUGAACGUAUGUUAUCAAAUGUAUGUGAUCGAUGUUGCAUGGUUUUGUGUGGAUGUGGGACAGGACAAAUGGGGCACCAUAGCAUGGUGGGAGAAAUGAGAAUCGACCCCCUAUUGUGCGCAGACAUGUCCAGGGACAAUGGGGAGGGGGAGGGAGGAUUUGACCAAGACACAACCUUGGCCAAUAAUAGGGUUUAAGAUUCUUUUAGAGCAAAUAAAAGAAGGUGACUUAUUGUGCCGUUGUUGGGCGGAAAACAUCAGAAUUGUUGAUCACGACAGCGUGGUUAAGACCCUGUCUGGAUUGCGGCUAUUUUUGCCACACAUUGCCAUACUAUUUUGCCACACUUUUCUUUCUUGAGUUGCACAAAUUCUUGGCCACACUUUCGCUUGCCCUAGAGAAUCUUGCCAUACUUUUCGUAUCUAUGACAUAUGGGGCUUAUUGCUCAUAAAAGAAAAUUUCUUCUCUUAGUUGUGGCAAGAAACAAAAACCCACCUAACUUGUCAAACUUGUCUAAGUUGAGGUGUGACAAAGUGUGGCUUGAAACCAAACAGCCCCUAAGUCUCCGACGUGAAGAAGUAUCGAGCACCGCAAACCGCCCGAUUGGAGAUGAACGUUGACACGGCAGUUCGCCACCGAGAAACGGUAAGUGAGUGUGAGCGAAGAGUAAAAAUGUCGGUUUCUUAGGAAUUAUUCAGAGUUUGAAUUUCGGGCCCUAUAUUAGGCCAAUAACAUGUCUCAUUCAUAAAGGUGCAAUUGAAAAAAAAAGUCAUCCUUCAAAUAAUUUUUCUAUUUACAGACAAUUUAUGCGCCGCAUAGCAGUACCGUGUAACUUGAGGCCUUGGCCGACACGUCACAUCAAUUUUGAUACUAGCGUCGGCUCAGGCGUGGAUUAACAACCUCUGCAAAAUGUAAGAUGUUUUUGCAAGCGGCGGAGGGAGCACUUUCCCUCGUGCAAAGGACAAGAGAAACCGCAGCACGGACAUCAGCAUGUGUUGCAGCAUAUAUGUGGAUGUUUUUGCAAAAGAAAAAAAACAUAUAUGUGAAUGGAUCAUGGAUGGAAGUGGAAGUGUGUACUUGAAAAGGCUCCUGUGGCACACGCGCACACAAAGGAAGCAAGGAAGAAGUGGCGGUGGUUACUCACUGAGUGUCAUGUCACCGGUGCAACGCAACGCCAUGAUGGUGCUGGUGUAUGUAAUGUAAGUACGUGUUGUGUUGAUCCCCCACCACAACCACCGCUGCUGCGUGCGUGCGUGCGUGCGUGCAGAUAGAUAGGGAGAUCGUUGCUGCUGCUGACGUACACAUCAAGCUUAAUGGUGUGAGCCGUCUUCUCAACCAUCGUGCUCCUGCGACGUACGUAGUGUUAUAUACUCCCUCCGUUCCUAGAUAUUUGUCUUUCUAAAUAUUUCAACAAAUGACUAUAUACUGAGCAAAAUAAAUGAAUCUACACUUUAAAUAUGUCAACAUACAUCCGUAUGCGGUGGUCCAUUUGAAAUGUCUAGAAAGUCAAAUAUUUAAGAACGGAGGGAGUAUAAGCCGCAAGAUGAAUCAUCGUGGUGGGCCGGGCCUGGACAUGGGCAACGGUGGAGCGCGUGCGUGAUGGGCACCACCAUGCCCUCCAUAAUGAUGCACUAAUGAUCAUCGAUGGUGCUGGCAUUGGAUAGAUAGGUUUAUCAUCUUCCACUCCACCACAAAAUCAAAGACUCUACUAGUGCAAUGCUAGUGCAAGUUUGUGGGGGUGCGGCGUUGACGGCCGGCUUCAGUUGAGUUGAGGGCUCAUGCUCAGUUGCUCCUACUACAUCUACAUGCCGGCAAUGGCAAUCGGCGUCGGCGCAUGCAGAAUGAGAUGCAGCGACCAGCUCUCCUUCACCUGAUCGCAUACAUCACAUGUUGCUCAAUCCGGCAAAACACGUGCACCAUGUUGCAUGCAUGCAUGCGUUGACAUGAGUACGUAGCAGCAGUAAGAAAAAGAUGUGGUGAGUGAGUAGCAGUUUACACGCACGCAUGCAUGCAUGCAUCAGUCAGCUGCUGCUGCCGGUACAUUUCACUUCGAUCUGUCGGCCUCGGAGGGGUUAUACGUGGACACGUGGUUGAUCGAUCCAUGGGUGUCUCCGUUGGCCGGCGAUCGAUCGGGGUGGACGUGCUCACUGCAACUACUUUGAUCGGGGUCCGGCCGUCCGGGGCCGGAGCAGAGCAGGGGAAGACGAGGGUAGGAAAGAUGGGAUGGAUGAAUCGCUUGCACCCCACUCUACCCACACAUCCAUCAUCCAUGUGGAUACUGCUCUGCUCUGCUGCUUCCUCUACGAUUGUUUGACUGAUUGGCUAUCUCUUUUCCGGGAAACUGCAAAUAAAGCAAGUGGUUGUUGGCUUCUUGCAGAUAUAUUAUUCAUUCUCUCUCGCCAAGCCGACGCCUUUCUCGCCACCCUGGCCUGGAUUGCAUUGCAUGCAUGGCCAAAUUUGGUCUUCAACCCAUCUCCCUCUCCAGGAAACCCAAUCAUGUUGUUUUUGAACUUUGCAUGAAUUAUUUCCAACUUACAAGAUUUUUGUGCGAAUAGAAAAAUUUUCUUGCUGAAUUUCCCAAAGUAAUUUCUGGGGGCUAAAAUGAAUUUUCCGUGUGAGGAUUCCCUGUCCAAUUCUCACAUGCGUGAAGCCAAGGCAGCGCGCACGACUGGUCAGGCCUUCAGCCGGCCGACAACACCAUUUUUGCACUGCAUCCUCUUCUCCUCCGGCGAGCUUGGUUGGUGUCCAAGCCAACUGAUCGAGCCGCACAGAGAGAAUAAGAAUGUUUCAUGCAUGUGGCUAUGUUGCACUCCUUUAAUAUUGCCAUAUUGCACUAUUUCUUUCCAUAUUCUACUCUGUUUUAUAUUUAAUUAACCUGUUUUUCGUUGAGGGGCAGAGACAUGCAGGUGGUUGGGUUGGAGACUUGUUGACCUCGCCAUAAUCCAUCCUUACCAGUAUCUAAUUGCUGGCGUAGAUUUCAGAUUAUGUGUUCAACUUUUCAUCAGAAAUAUAAAAAGAAUCUAAAGUUGAUGCCUGAUUGAAGAAUCUCAAAAGUAACACGCUUAUCAUUUUCAUUUCGUUCCCAGGUUUUUCUGGGAUGCUACGUACGAAUUAUUCAGCCUGCAGCCUGCAGGCUGCAGCUGGCUAGCUAACGGUCGUACGCGUCCUUAGAGAAGCCACACUGAAGCUGCGGCACGUCCAGAUUCAGGCAUGAUGAACACAUGCCCUGCUAAUUGCCAAUCCAUCCGAAAACGAGUAUUUUCAAUUAUUUUUCUUGGUGAAAUUUGCAUGACAAUCUUUUUUGCGACCAUAGUCAGUCGGAACAUUGUGUUCACCUUUAAAUGUGUGCAUUCUCGCAGGGGCGGAGCCAGAAAUUUUCACCAAUGGGUUCAUUCACUAACUAGUUGUGAUUUUUUUUAAUGAACUUAGUCCUAUUUUGUGACAAAUUGCAACGAGAGUAUAUCAGUCAAAGAAAGCACAAUGAAUAUGAUAUCACUUAUCACACAUAUUUGUCACUUCAAAAAAAUAAGAGUGCAUAACAUACCGACCGGAUGAAAUUAUAAAAUCACUUGCUUACAUAUUAUAGAUAAAAGUAGUACCAAAAUAAACUUCAUAUUUUAGAGCCAACUUCUCAUCUUUCUGAAAACAGUGAAGAAAAUAACAAGUUAGUUUGGCAAGUUUAAAAUAAAAGUGAUAUCAUGUGAAAGAAUCAUGUAAAGUCACUCACAUUUAGAGCUUCCCUUUUCGAUCUUUUAUCGCCUUAAAAAGAUCAAACACAGCAUCAUUACUAAUGGGAGAAAACAUCUCUUUCUCCACAUAGCAAAUUAGACAAUCACUCAUGAACUGAUCACCAAUUUUGUUGCGCAACUUUUUCUUGACAACAUUCAUAGCUGAAAAGCAUCUCUCCACGGAUGCUGUUGCAACUGGUAAUAUCAAUACUAACUUUAGAAGAUGAUAGACCAAGGGAAAAGUAACAUGUUUAUUUGUCUGCACCAUUAACUUCGCAAGAUCAGCAAUCCCGUCCAAAUUAGCAAACCUUUCAUCCGCUCGCACAUUAUCAAUGUAAGUGCGCAGUUCAGGACCAAGAUCAUCCAUUUUUUUUGAAUCAAAAUCAUCUGGAUAAAACUCAGCUAGCUUCACUAAGCUAUCCAAGUUAAAAGCAACAAAUCCAUCGUUUGGGUUGAAAGAAGCCAUGUGACCAAGUAAUGCAGAAUUUACCUCAUUGAAACGGUCAUCAAACUCUUGAAGUUGCCAGUCAAUAACAGAAUUAAGACACUCUACUCGGUAAUGCUAGAGGUUUGUCUUAUUAGUUUUUUGUCUUGGUUUGUGUCGAUUGAUAUAUUGCUCCUGCAUGUCCGCCUUCUCAAUGUGAUGUUCUUCACAAAAUGAAUAUGUCUUCUGUAUCAGUGAGUCCCAUCCAUUCUCCCUUAGUUCUUGUAGCUCAUUCCUUGUGGACUUGACACAUGACAUGGCAUUUAGGAUGUCUUGAUCCUUCUUUUGUAAAGAAUGUGACAAAGUAUUUGCAUUUCCUAAUAUAUGCAGCAUCAUGUGCAAAUAAAACACAAAAUCAAAGGUCUCAAAAUAUGCUACAAGACCACGCGCCUGACUUUUCUUUUCAUUUUUACCUUCUUUCUCCACAUAUUUCAGAACAGACAUGACUGCAGGGAACAACUUCACUAGACUUGAGAGAGUUCUGUAGUGUGAGCCCCAACGAGUGUCACCAGCUCUCUGAAGAGUUUGAUCUUGAUUUAACCCUCUGCCAGUGCUAAUCUGCCCACUACCUAUGGCUUUUAUUACAUCCUCUCGAUGUUUCUCUCUAAUCAUGUGCUUUCUUUUGCAAGAAGCUCCAACCACAUUAAAUAAAAUGGAGAUCAUGUAGAAAAAAUCUGAAAUAUCUUCAUGCUUCUUUGCUACAGCUACAAUAACCAACUGGAGUUGGUGAGCAAAACAAUGCACAUAAUAGGCUGAUUUAUUCUCUUGCAAAAUCUUUGCUUUCAAGCCAUUGAACUCGCCGCGCAUAUUGCUAGCCCCGUCAUAACAUUGUCUCUGACUUGUUUUAUGCUUAAACCAAGAUCGGUGAAUAAUUUUUGAAGUGCGGCCUGAAGACAUAUUGCCGAUGUUUCUUGCACAUGUACUACUCCAACUAAUCGUUCAAUGAUAAAUCCACGCUUGCUAAGAUAUCUCAAAACAACUGCCAUUUGCUCUUUGUCAGACACAUCAGCAGCUUCGUCAAUCAACAAACUAAACACAUCACCUCCAAUUUCUUCAAUUAUAGAAUUCAAAGUUAUCUGUGCAAAACAAUAAGGGCAUCAUUAGAGAUUAGUGUAACUUGUAAGACAACAAAAAAUAGUAGGAAAUAUAAUUUAACGAUGAUGUUACCUUGGCAAAAUAGUUGGCAAUUUCCUUCUGAAUAUCUCCACAUACCCACUUGCAAUUUUGUGGAGCAUUCUCAAGAACUACUUUUCGUAUAUCAUCAUUUUGAUUUGCCAAACUUUUUACCAACUCUCGAAAGUUUCCCUUAUUUUUUGACUCUUCUGUUUCAUCAUGGCCUCGGAAAGCUAAGCCUUGAUGCAACAAGUAUCUAACAGAAUCAAUUGAAGCAUUAAGCCGAAUUCGAUUUUGCUUUUUUGUAAGAUCAGUUUGCUUAUCGAGAGCUACCCGAAUUGAUUGAUCUUGAUUCAUCAAAGCAUCACACCGUUUUACUGCUACAUUAUGAAAGCUGUUAACAUUACCUUUACCCUCGUGGGUAUCCAGCCUACUUUUCUUGUUCCAACCGUUCCAACCAUUAAUUCCAAAUGCAUCACUCCCAGCUUGUCCCUCAUUAUUAUCUCUGAAAAGAUAACAACAUAAACAAAAGGCCUUAUGCACCUUAUCACUAUACUCAAGCCAACGACCAUAAUCUUUAAACCAGUCUGGAUUAAAUCUUCGUUGUGUAUCUCCAAUGUCCCUGUGUGGAUAAACAAAAGUAGACGGUGGCCUGUAAGGUCCCCUUGUUAAAUAUCGUCGCCUAAUCUCAUCUUGUUUCUUAGGAUUUCUUGUGUACUCCGAAAUUCUCUUCCGAUCAGCCGGAUCGUAGGGCAAUUCAUCUAAAUUAAUCUCUUUGUGGAUAGAAGGCUUUGGGAGACUACUUGCAGCGACAUUUGAUGCAGUUUGCUUACAUCUGAUGGGUGACCUCGAUGUCCCCCCAUCAUUAUCUGGGUCAGGUGAUCGACUUCUCUUCUUGGAAAAAUAUCUUUCCAUAGCCUGCAUCAAUGAAAGUCCAUGAAAAUAAGAAUUAGAAAAUUAGGGCAAAAAGCUCCCGUACUAGGCUAUUAGAUUUAGAUUGGGUAGAACGUACGGAGGGAAGAGAUGUGGAGGUGAUAUUACUGCCUUAAAUUGGACUGCAGUUGAGCGGAGCGCUUCGACACUAUUUGCCGUCGGGCGUCGGCGUCGAGAUGAGGCGAGGCGGCGGAGAGAGAGGCGAGGCGAGUUGGAAAGCUACGAGGCGUGCGGCUGCCGUCCGUGUAUUCCUCGUACAGGUAUUGAUUGAUCUUCUUUUUUUAGAUGUCGUACAUGUAUUGAUCUAGGACUAGUAACGAAGAUGCCUAGGGUUUUGGGCCUUUUAUUUGUCUAAUCAUGUGGCGUUAGCAGCUUAAUGGGGUCAGACUUAAUUUUUUAUUGGGGUCAGGCCUUAUAUGUCGUACAUGACAUGCACGUAGGUAGCGAAUCUCAUUGGGUUCAUCUGAACCCAAUGGUUCAACGCUGGCUCCGCCACUGCAUUCUCGGACUCAGAGGCCCAUAAAGUAUCUCUUUUGAAUUUCCCUCUAGAUGCAUGGAAAAAAACCUCUAGUUUUUUUCUUCGAAUUUACCUAAAAUAAUAAUUCAAAAACAUAUAUCAUCACACCUAUUAGACACGCCUAAAUCGUUGCCGUCCAAAAGCAUGACACGGCGAAAGAGCGGGAGAGAUCGUUGUGUCAAGCUCACGACACUCCCUGUAACCCAGCCCCAGCUCGCCAUCGCUAUGCACAGUCCGGUUGGGUGGCAAUUUGCUUUUUGGGCAGUGAUCAGGCAGGCUGUUCGGACGUUUAGGAAGGAUAUGGGGCCUUAGGUUGUAGACGCUCUGAUUCAUGGCCAGUUCAUGACUUCAUUAAUUCAAAACCGGAUUGAUCUAGAGCCUUCUUUCUAAAACAAAUGCAUGGCCAGUCCAAACAUCUGGGCUGACUGGGACCUCCCAUAUGCAGCUCACAUGUGGGCUUGCACCAUGAUGGAGGGCUUCGACUUUCCCUUUGUCAAGGAGGGAGCCCCCGGCUUCAGCUACGCCACGGUGCCCUUGACGGUGUUGACCGCCUUGCCUCCCUUUUGAAUCUUGCGCUCUCUAGACAUGGCUCCGGUGGUGGUGCGGCGCUGCGAUGCGCGAAGAAUAAUGGUUGGUGGUGGUGGACUAUGGAGCACUUCAGUGUUUGGAGGUUUGGGCGCGAGGAAGAAGAUGACUGUGAGGGGACUGGCCGUGAAGCUCCCCCCCCCCUUAUCUCCUCCUUCUUAUAGGAGGGGGUAAAUGUGCAAUGGCAGCAGGUGAAUGCCGCCACGCGGCAAUAAAUCUCUUCGGUUUCCAUGUUUAAGCGAUGAUUAUGCACUGUAAUCAAGGCAUUGUUGUUAAUCAUCAUGUGGGGAUCGAGGCACAUGACCCCUCUAGCUGGGACGUGACCUUGGUGGGCCCCUAACCCGCUCUUGCACGUCACGUGGACCAUCAGGUCAAAGACGCCAUGUGGCCAGGUGCGCCUGUGGAUGAGACCGGUCUGGCUUGUCAGAACCAGAUCGAAUAACCUUCAUGAUGGAGUGCGGGAGUUCUUCCCACCAAAUUGACCGCCUACGAGGGAAGCAGUUCCAACAUGCAUCUCGUCUAUACUCCUUCAACAUUUUUGGAAUAGAGGUGCUCUACAUCACCAGGGGUGCAGUCCGGCGUUGGAGCUCUGAUGCGUGAAGGCACUGUUCGGAGGACACUUCAUUGAAUCUGUUUCAAGACAGGCGACCGAAGACAACGUGCAUCAUGGAUGGAUCGAGGUGCAGCCAUGCUUUAAGACCGGUUAAGGGCUAGUGACGGUGUCCCGGCUAAGGGGCCUCUCACCACGACUACUCUAGUACUAAUAGGUCGGGCUGAGGACCCCCUUUGUCGAUUUUGUCCUGGGCCACAUUAGACGACCCAUGACCGAUAACGGAAGAUUCCCAACAACUUGACAUACAAGACAAGAAGCCGGAUUCGUGGAGGACUCUACCUCCUCAUACGUAGCCAACUAGGAUCCAUGUAACCUAGGAUCCCAAUAUGCUAUAUAAACCGGGGUCCGGGCUCGUAGAUAGACAACUUACAAUCUUUUGGCAGUUUGUACUUUGUACACACUCCAACUCAACAAAACACAAGCAUGACGUAGGGUAUUAUCUCCUUGAAGAGUCCAAACCUAGGCCAAAACCUCGUCUCUGUUUCCGUCGUGCCAAAUAGCCUAACUUAGGAUACCCUAUUGAGGGAUCUGUCGGAUUUAGCUCCGACAAAACCCACUAGCAGCCAAGACCGACGGAAGAGAGACAACAGAGGAGUACCUCCAAAUCCAACAAGGAGGAGGAGCUCCGCGCUGCAACUGACUUCUAUCGAUGACUGACUGCCCAUGCAGUCGAGCGCAUCGACCAGCCUCACCACCCAUGAGCAUCGCCUGCCGCGAAGUCGCUACUGCCACACCUACUGGGGCCGCCGCCCAGAGCACGUAACCCUCCAUGUGAGGGCGGAGCGACGAGAUCUUCGCCCCCACCGUCAUCAGUGCUUGCAUGGGUGGCAGCGAUGGAGGAGAGGAUGGGGAGGUGACAUCAGAAGGCGAAACCUAGUCGCCUGACAGGAUGACGCGAGGGCCAAAUUUUUUUUUGCUACAACAACUUGUUAAUGCAGCUGAAAAAGCAAUUAGUUCACGAAUUGAAGACCGUUCGUGUUUAAUCCCUCCUCCUAUCCUCUGGAUCCCGCAUGGCCGGCCGAGCUUGGUGUUCAAUGCAAGUGAUCUGCCACAGAGAGAAUGUUUCAUGUGGCCAUGUUUCACGCUUUUAAUAUUGCCAAAUUGCAUUGCUUUUAGAUAUUGUACUACUACAUCAUUAGCAGAGUUGGACUAAUUUAAUUCUCCUGUUUUCUUCUGAUGAUUAGAGUACGUGUGAAAAAGAUCCGUCUCACGCCAUUUCCCCCUGUUUUUUGUUGAGAUACAGGUGGUUGGUUGGGUUGGAGCAGCAGAGAGGCCGACUGUUUAACCUCACCAAAAUCCUAUUAUCAAAUUGCUGGUGUACAUUACAUUCAGAUCAGAUGAGAUCAUGAUCGAGGUUGCCCUUUUCAUUUUGCACAAGCAUAAAUAAGGUGGAAAGGGGGCCCCUCAAGAAUCUCAAAAGCAGGCAGGCUUAUUUCCCUUCUCCAUCCAUUGUUUUUUUUUCUGAAUUAUUCAACCUGCACGCGGCUCAUGGCUGUACGUCCGCGUCACGCUGGACCUGCCGCACAAACAUUUUACUCGCGCACCAUGACACGCCCGGAGCAUUGCCCUGUUAUCUGAAAAAUCCGGCCCAUUUGCUUUAUGGAAAUCCUAUUAUCAAAUUACUAGUGUAGUAGUAAUUUAGAAGGAUAAAGAUUUUGUAGGAAAAAAAUCUUUUAAAACUUUUGGCUUGUACAGAUGAAUUUCGUACGAUAUAAACCAAUCCUUCUUUCAAAGAAGGAAAAACUUAGCCUAGACCCAAUGAAAAAGUUCCUAUCAUAUGAAUGAAAUGACAACCCUUUCUCUAUAGAACUAAGACACCUAUUCUCAUGAUAUUUCUAUCCUAUGAACCAAAGAAGCCUUCAUAUGAUUCAUACUUGUUUCGGUUUCUUAAUGAAGAUUCUCUGCGAUAACUUUUUAGCCGCGUGCGUCCUCGGAUGCAGAGACCGGGAGAGUUCAACCAUAAUCUCAAGUCACGUGGUCACACUUUUACAAGCUUUUUUUUACGGGACUUCGUCAAGAGAGGGUAGGGUGCUCAUGUGAUUUCAUAAUAAAAAUUAAACUUGGUCCAAUUUAUAUGAGAAACUAGGUCAAAACCCACACUUCCACAACGAAUUGACGCACCCCACCCGCACCCGCACCCGCCCAAAAGGAUGACACACCAAAAAGAGGCCGGAGGAGAGACAUCUCUUUUCUUUGUGUGCGUGCUGCAUCCACUAGCGAAAUGAUGGCGCCAAAUCCAAAUCAUCCACCCCUUUUGAAAGGAAUUUUAACGUAAUUGAUGUGCACGUCCCAGCCCCAGCACCAGCAGGCAGCAACAAGAAAAAAGAAACCCCCAUGGGAAAAAGCAAUUAGUCCACACGAAGAUCGUCGUUCCUGAUUGAUCUCCAUGAUACCAUGCUACCAAAAUUAACCUAUUUGAUUGAUGAUGCCCUGUCUCCGUCUCUCUGCUUUCUGUCUUUCUCUCUCACCAAACUCUGCUCCGCGUGCACUGCCUAUAAGACACGCCGGGCCAAGAACGCAACACCAUUCUGCCUGCAUCUUUCUUUCUCCUUAUCUCAUCAUCUGUACCCUCCGUAGUGUUCGUAUCAAUCUCCAGCUCCGGCUCCGAUGAAGGACCGACGCGGCGGCGCUGGAUUCCCCUUCUCCAUCGGCUGCAUGUCGCAGUCCGCCGUGGCCGUCGCCGACCCGCUCGGUAAGAAGCCACCAGCACCGGCGCCGCAGCCGCAGGCCGACAACCCUUCUUCCUCCACCACGACGACGGCCACCGCACAGGGUAUGUACUUCCUGAUCGCAAUUCAUACGGAGAUCCAUGCCACAUACUAACAGCAAGCAGAACAUCCAUUUCAGAGAGAGGCGCCGGAGAAGAAAGCAGCGAGGACAAGGCGAGAACCGCGGCGGCGGCGGCGGCAGGGACCGUCACGGCCGGGGUGCAGCGGCUGCUCAGGGGAAUCAAGACCUUCUUCGCGGCGUACGACGUCGAUGAAGAGGAGGACGAGGAGGAGCAGGAGAUCGUGAUCGGGUACCCCACCGACGUGCAGCACGUCGGGCACAUCGGCUGGGACGGCAUCAACAAGGUGGGCGGCAUGGGCGUGGGCGUGGGCAUGGCCGGCGCCUUCUCCCUGCCAUCCUCCCUCUCCCUCCGCCAGCUCGAGACCGCCAUGGACCCCGGCGCCGCAACCACCACCUGCAUCAACUGACCAAUCUCUGCUGCCAUUGCCACGCUCCUCGAGCUCGAGAAACCACCAUCACUAGUGCUAGUAAAAAACAAGUUUGAUCUCAUCUUUUAGUUCUUCCACGUGCUUGCUGAUGAUUGAUAAUUACCUUGUCAUUUGGUAAAACUUCUUUUUUAACUUUGGACGAGAUAAGA
rnacentral:lncRNA from 1 species